rnacentral:rRNA from 1 species
UACGUAGGGUGCAAGCGUUGUCCGGAAUUAUUGGGCGUAAAGGGCUCGUAGGCGGUCCAUCGCGUCGGGAGUGAAAAGCUGGGGCUCAACCCCAGCCUGCUUCCGAUACGGGCAGACUAGAGGUAGGUAGGGGAGAAUGGAAUUCCCGGUGUAGCGGUGAAAUGCGCAGAUAUCGGGAAGAACACCCGUGGCGAAGGCGGU